UGAACAGCCAGCCGGUCUCCGUCACACACGGGCCCCGUGAGAUUGCCUGUGCGACGCCGUUAAACGUCCUCCUGUAGACAGAGCUGGGGGAAGGCUGCCCUUUGGAACUUUGUUCCCGUGUCCCACGCGGCAACCUCACUUCAGUGCUCGCUACACAGAAUCGGAGGACUGGCUAAGACAUGGUCCCCGUCCUCUGGGGCUUUAUGUGUCCCUGGAGUCAACAGAUCCAGGAAGAGAGCACUGAGCGAGGCAUGAUGUCAGAAGUCCACACUGGCACCCGUGGGGCAGGAAGAUGACUCGGAGCUUCAGCUAAAGGCCCACAGCUGAGGUUAGCUCCCCGUUCUCAACAGGGCGGCCUGCCCUGUCUCCAGGGCUCACCCAGAGCAGCCAAGCCUCGGCGCCUCAGCACCGUCAGCCGGUCCCAUCCCUCCAAGCGGGGCCAGGCCCUGCGAGCUGCAGCUUACGUGCAGGUGAGUAAACUGAGGCUCAGCGAGGUGAACUGACAUCCUGAGAGGGAAUGGGAACCCUUGGCCGACUCCAGCUGCCCUGGGCCUUGCGCUGCUCACAGCAUCGUCCCCAGCCCCGUGCCACCUGGGACCUGGCCACCAAGGUGUGGCCACCAUCGGUGACGUGAGUACAUGAAGCAGCAGAAAUGGGUCUUCCUGGAGUUCUGUGAGCUGCUUCUGGAUGAGCAGGACUGUGAUCCCUGCCAUAGCCACGCCUCCUACGCCGGUACGGCCCAGACGGCUCCCCUUGGCAGAGCGUCCUCCUGACAGCCUUUCCAUUCACUGCUGCUGCUGCUAGCGCCCGACCUCUCACACCCGCACCCACCCACCUCUGACCCGCCCUGGAGCAGGAAACCAGGUGCCCGCUCUUAGGAAGAGUGGUCCCAACCACGGCAUACAUAUAUCCAGGGAAGUUAUGAUUUGCAAAGCACACUUCCCCCCCCCAUAUCUUUCCAUCUUGACCCCCUG